rnacentral:rRNA from 1 species
AACGAACGCUGGCGGCAUGCCUAACACAUGCAAGUCGAACGAGACCUUCGGGUCUAGUGGCGCACGGGUGCGUAACGCGUGGGAAUCUGCCCUUGGGUUCGGAAUAACAGUUGGAAACGACUGCUAAUACCGGAUGAUGACGUAAGUCCAAAGAUUUAUCGCCCAAGGAUGAGCCCGCGUAGGAUUAGCUAGUUGGUGAGGUAAAGGCUCACCAAGGCGACGAUCCUUAGCUGGUCUGAGAGGAUGAUCAGCCACACUGGGACUGAGACACGGCCCAGACUCCUACGGGAGGCAGCAGUGGGGAAUAUUGGACAAUGGGCGAAAGCCUGAUCCAGCAAUGCCGCGUGAGUGGUGAAGGCCUUAGGGUUGUAAAGCUCUUUUACCCGGGAUGAUAAUAACAGUACCGGGAGAAUAAGCGCCGGCUAACUCCGUG